CAGCAGCCACGGGAAUACGAAGGGUGCAAGCGUUAAUCGGAAUUACUGGGCGUAAAGCGUGCGUAGGCGGUGAGUUAAGUCUGCUGUGAAAUCCCCGGGCUCAACCUGGGAAUGGCAGUGGAUACUGGCUCGCUAGAGUGUGUCAGAGGAUGGUGGAAUUCCCGGUGUAGCGGUGAAAUGCGUAGAGAUCGGGAGGAACAUCAGUGGCGAAGGCAGCCCCCUGGGCCAAUACUGACGCUCAUGCACGAAAGCGUGGGGAGCAAACAGGAUUAGAUACCCCGGUAGUCCCUGUCUCUUAUAC
rnacentral:rRNA from 1 species